CCCUAAAGAAGAAAUCUUCCUUUUUUGUUUUUCGGUGGAUGAAGGAGCAGCGGAAGCCCGAGCAAAAAUAAAUUACACUACACAGUAACGGGGCACCCCAUAAGGGUCACCAGAAAUGAGAGCAUCGAUUCCCUCCCGCGCAGAAGGGAACUCACGAUGCGAAGGCUGGCACAGAAUAUCGAAAUUGUCACUCUUGCGACACGGCAGAGCUGAAGUCUGGCCUUAAGUUGGCAUGGAAUUGAUUGGGAAUACGAAACACUAAUCCUCGAUGGCCAAUAGCACUGUAAGAGACAGGAGCUUGGAGUGAUGCAAUCUUAAGGGAGAUUCAGGAAAUAAUGCACCGGGAUUGGAUAGUGAUGGCGAGACACUCUCAUCGGAAAGGCAGCCUGUGCACGCCGCGCGGAUCGGAUCCCGGUUUAUGCGCUCUUGUUAACCGUGCGAAUUCAAAGACUUUAGUCUAUGUCCAUUGUGGACUCGAUAUUUUAUUGUUUGGGGAUGCCGUCGGGGGUAGGUGAUCAUGUCACGGCUAGAUGUAUUGUUUAAUUUCUUUCUUAAUGUAUUCAGAUUUCGACCCCAUUUUACCCAAACAAAAAUGAAAAUAAAUAUUGCCUAA